rnacentral:sRNA from 1 species
GCUGGGUGUGGAGGGGCACACUUGUAAUCCCAGAGGCUUGGAAGGCUGAGGCUGGAGGAUAGCAAGUUCAAACCCAGCCUCAG